GUCCUGUUAGACGUCCUGUUCCAUCGGUCUUUUCCCUCCACCGAUGUAUUUGAACUUUCUUACCAGUCACGAUGGUAUUACACAUCUCUUCUUGCAGUGAUGUGGCCAAAACUGGAUGUCUUGGCUUAAUAUCUUCCAUGUCCAGUACAAACAGGGAAGAGUAUCUCUUGUUCCUCACCUGUUCUGGUUUGGGAUGUCACCUACUCCUUUUGUUUUUUGUUCUUUUUUUUUUUUUUUUUUUUUUUGAGACAUUAACUUGUAGAUCAAAAUUCAGUUUGUAUAUUCUUCUCUGAAUAUUGCCACUUAAUCAUAUCUAUACGAAUUUAUUAUACAUAGAGCAUUUAGUAUGUGUCAUUAUCUUGUUACAUUUUGUUUUAUUCCGGUUUAUUGAAAUUGUUGACUUAUAGUAGUAUCUACCAGAGUUGUUGCUGCAUAACCAUAAGGGCUAUCUAUGCUAAUUACUAUGCUAAUGAAAGUGGAGCUAAUAUAGUUCCCUGUAGAACUCCAUGUGUCCUGUCAGUUGGACAGAAAAUUACUAGUAAUUUAAGAGGACUUAUCUAGAUAACUUUACCUACUCAUUGUGAUGGUUUUAAGCUACGUUUGAUUUCCUUUAACACAAUCAGAUUUCCUGUAUAUGCUCUUAAAACAUUAAGUGGGCAAGAAUUAAAGAGAUGCAAUUUGAAGAAAAUGGAAAUCACCCAUGGUGCAUUAAAGGACUUGACAAUGAAAUCUACUCUAAAAUAUGUGCCCACUUCUGAUCAGCACCUCUGUCUUGUAACCUAUACACAUUUGAAUAGGAAAAAGCAAGAUGCUUAGUGUUCUGUCAUUACAGCAUUCAUCUUAACCAUCAAGUCAGAGGAUGGUAUCUUAAGGAAAUGUCAAAUAAUGGAGAGCUGUAUAUAUAGUUGCUGCAGCAGGGAGGAAAGCAACAGAACAGGAAUGGAAAUUAGCAGGAGGAGGUCUGAAAGGCCACAAGUUUCCAGCUCAGAAAGACGGUGGGAGAGGAAGUCGGGAAGAACAAGAAAAUGCUACUUUGUGCUGAGACACUCAAAAAAAAGUUCUCAAAUCAUGUACUUGUGGAGUUUGACACUAUACAGGAAAGCUGUCUUCCAUUCGGAAUUAGCAUUGCACACAGUUCUCAUGUGAGUGAGUAUGAAAUUUUCUCCCAAGUUCAUGAAUGUUGACAGGACAAAGAAUAUACAUGGCCUAAGCUAGUGUUGGGAGAGAAAACUGCCUAUAAAAGCAAGAGUAAUAAUAAUAAUGAGAAUGGUCAGCUCAUGUCCAUGAGGUUUCUGGGGAACCAACAUCUCCUUUGUGUUUGGGGGGCGGGGGGGGAAUCAGUUGUGAAACAUCCUGAAUAUUCUUUUCAAAGCAAGGAACUUUCUAGGAAAUCUUUCAUAAGUGUUUUCAUCUGUAAUUUGAUGUUAGUCUGUUU
rnacentral:lncRNA from 1 species